rnacentral:piRNA from 1 species
UAUGUGAUUCUAGGGUGAGCUGUCUGGG